UAACAGUUAUUUUUUUGGUAUUUUUGCAUUUUUAGUAAAUUUUUUGAAUAUUACCACGUUGGCGUUUCAGAAAUUCCUGGGGUGGUAUUUUUAUAUAAUAUAUUUUUCGUAUAAUUUUUUUACGUGCGUUUUAAUAUAUUACCACGCGGUUUUAAAUAUACGGAUUAUAAUACCGUUUAUUUUUAGGGUUAUAUUUCCUGCCCUAUAUAUUAUUUUAUAUAUUUCGUCGGCCAAUAUUUUAUUUUCCCAUUUAAUAUUUCUUUAUAUAUAUAAAAAUAUCCAAAUGUUUUUUAUAUCCCCUAAAUUAUUUUUUUCCAAUAAUAUUUAUUUUAAUAUUUUGGUUUUAUUUUCUGGGUUUAAAAUUAUUUUCCCCUGGUAUUAUAUUAGGUACGCCGUAAAUUUAUUUCCGGACAUAUAUUAUUUAAUUAAUUGGUAUAAUUUUUAAUUUAUAUUAAUAUUUUCCAUUUAUUUAUCGAAUAUCGUUUUUUUGGCUCGUUUUGCCGCGUUUUUUAAAAAUUAUUUCGCAAUUGUCGUUUUUUAUCCGUUUGGAUUACGUAAUUUCCAAUAUAUAAUAUUCUUUUUAAUUUUUUCGCAUUUAUUAUUCCACCAAAUUUUAUACCUAUUUUUCCCAAUUAAUUUCCCUAUAAUUUUUAAUACGUUUAUAAAAAAAUUUUCAAUUCGGUGGCGCAAUUAUUAAAUUGUUUUUAAAUAACCUUUUUUAAAAUUAAUAUAAAUUAUUGGUUAUAUUUUGCGAUUACCGCCGCGUAUUUCGCUAUAUUUUGCGCAUUAUUUUGGAAUAUUACCCGUUUUGGAAAUAAUUCCGUAUUUGUUUUUAAUAAAAUUAAUAUAAUAAAUAUUUCGUAAUUGGAUUUUAUUUAAACGUAAAACGCGAUUUCCGUUAUCGCGUAUAAAAUAUUAAUUAACGUUAAAUCGAAUAUGUUUUUUUCGCGUAAAUUCUUUCGUCGUUUAUAUUAAAUAAAUAUAUAUUAUUAUUGGCCAUUUAUUAUAUAAAUAUUAACGAAUUAACGUCGUUACCCUUUUAUAAAUUCGGUUAAAAAUCCCUAUAUUUAAAAUUAAAAUUUCCCGUUACGAAAAUUUUCCCCGGGAAUUGCCAAUUUAUUAGGAUUUUUAUUACCUCCAUUUUUUUCCAAAAUGCGUAAUAUAUAUUAAUUAUUGUAGUUUCUUUUAUUUUAACCGCAAUAAUAUCGAAAUAUAAUAAGUUUUUCCCAAUGGGGACCGUUUUUAUAUAUAAAUACCCCUGGUUUGUUAUUUUUUUUCCACUAUUUUAUUGUUAAUAAAACGAUUUUAUAAUUAAAAUACCCUAUCGUUAUUUGUAAUCUUUCCGGGUCUUUUGGAUUAUUUAAUAAAUAUAAAUUUUAUAUUAUAAUUAUAUCCCUUUUAACCAAAUCGGUUAUAUUUAUUAAAAUAUUUUAAACGUUUUUUACGUUUGCGCAAUUGGUUUAAAAUAUUCUAAAAAAUCGCCUCGUUUAUUUCCCUUUUUGGCUUUUAUUUAUUUUAAAUAUAUAUAAUUGGUAUUUUUGGUGGCGGAAUGGGGGUUUCCUUUUUUAUUUUCGCUAUUUUAUUUGCGGCCGGGGUUAUUGGCGUUUUUGAUUAUUUUUUAACGCCUAAUUCCUCGUAUUUCCGUAUUAUUUUUUUUUGCGUAAUAAUUUCGGAAAAUGGGUUGGGUUUUUUCCGUUUUUUUUAUAUCGGGACCGGUAAAUCGGUUUUUAUAUUUUCGAAAUUUUCGAAAAAAUGGGCUAAAUUUAUUUCCGCGUCGAUUUCCAUUUAUAUAUUCGUUUUUUCGUUUCCGUCGGUUCCGUUUUUUUUUAUAUUAUACGGUUUUAUAAAUUUUAUUUUUUUUCGUUUAUAUUUUCGGUUUUUUCCUUUUCGGAUAUAUUUUUUAUUUCCGUAUAUACAGGUUUUUAUUUAUAUUUGUUUUUAUAUAUUUUAUUUCCUGUUUUUCGAAUUAGGGUUUUUUGUUUUUUAAUGGGGCGUAUUUAUUUGCCGUUUUUUCGUUUUAAUAUUAAUUUGCACGUAUAAUUUGCCUUUUUUAAAUAUCCGCAAUAUUAAUAUUUGGUUUUGCAAAUAUAUUUUCCAUUUUUUUCGUAUUCCGUGGCCCUUUAUACCAUUUCGCCGCAAUUAAUAUAAUUUAAAUAUAUUAUAUUAUAUAUUUUAUAUCCGUAUUAUU
rnacentral:sRNA from 1 species